GGCUUUGUAGUGGAAAUCAAACAAGACGUCAGACUGCAAUUCUGAAGAUGCGUGAAACGCCAGAGCUU